CGCCGCGGUAAUACGUAGGGGGCGAGCGUUGUCCGGAAUCACUGGGCGUAAAGGGCGCGUAGGUGGUUAUUUAAGUUAGACGUGAAAUCCAUGGGCUUAACCUGAGGCUUGCGUUUAAAACUGGGUAACUUGAGUGCAGGAGAGGGGAGCGGAAUUCCUGGUGUAGCGGUGAUAUGCGUAGAUAUCAGGAGGAACACCAGUGGCGAAGGCGGCUCUCUGGACUGUAACUGACACUGAGGCGCGAAAGCCGGGGGAGCAAACAGGAUUAGAUACCCUGGUAGUCCCGGCUGUAAACGAUGGGUACUAGGUGUAGGGGGUAUCGACCCCUCCUGUGCCGCAGUUAACACAAUAAGUACCCCGCCUGGGGAGUACGACCGCAAGGUUGAAACUCAAAGGAAUUGACGGGGGCCCGCACAAGCGGUGGAGCAUGUGGUUUAAUUCGAAGCAACGCGAAGAACCUUACCAGGUCUUGACAUCCUCCUAAGGCUGUAGAGAUAUGGCCGACCCGGUUUCCGGGAGGGAGAGACAGGUGGUGCAUGGCC
rnacentral:rRNA from 1 species